GAAUGCCUAGGCCUCCCUUUCCACGAGGACGCGCACCGCCGCGAAAGGCCACGGGGAGGAGCGCCCUGGGAUCCGUGGAUGUCCUCCCGGGAAACCCUCGAUGCAAACCGCCGGCGAACCGAACCAUCCCAGUAGCCGGUGCAAGGGAAAUCAACCGAGACUCCGUGGGUAGCGGCGAGCGACAACGGAGCAGGCGCCCCCUGGGCCGCGCGCGCUCCUUCGGGAAGCGGGUGGGAUCCCGCACCGCAGAGGGUGACAGUCCCGUCCCCGAGGUGCGCCGCGCAACACGCUCCGGAGGCACGCAGUACGCCCCUCUCCCCAGGGGGGUGGAAGCGCGGGGGACCGCCCUCGAAGCCUGAGCCAAGGGGGAGGACCGAUAGUGCACCAGUACCGUGAGGGAAAGGUGAAAAGAACCCCGAGCAGGGGAGUGAAAGAGACACCUGCAUCCCGAGGCCUCCCGUCGGUCGUCCUCUCCCGCGACGCUUCGCGGUCGAGGGGACGGCGUACCUUUUGUAUCAUGGGUCAGCGAGUCCUCCUGCGCAGCGCGCUUCAGCCGCUAGGUGUAGGCGCAGGUCACCCGAGUCUCCAAGGGCGCACCGUUGCGCGGGGGGGACCCGAAACCGAGUGCUCGAGUCCUGGGCAGGUCGAAGGGGGGGGACCACCUCCUGGAGGACCGCACCCACUCCUGUGGCAAAAGGAGGGGAAGACCUGGGAUUAGGGGUGAAAGGCCAAUCAAACUCGGAGAUCGCUGGUUUUCCGCGAAAGCUAUGGAGGUAGCGCGUGGAGAAGGCCUGGACCGGAGGUAGAGCGCGGUUGGGGCCUCGCGCCCCGACCACCUUCCAAUGCCGGCGCCAGGAUCCUCCGCAGACAGACCUUCGGUGCGAAGAUCGAAGGUCGAAAGGGAAACAGCCCUGCUCGCACGCUAAGGUCCCCAAGCCGCCCACCAGUGGGAAAGGAGGGGCGCGCCCGAAGACAGCCAGGAGGUGGGCUUGGAAGCAGCCAUCCUCGGAGGAACGCGUAAGAGCGCACUGGUCGAGGGCGCGCCCGCCGAGAAUGUACCGGGGC
rnacentral:rRNA from 1 species